rnacentral:rRNA from 1 species
CGCUGGCGGCGUGCUCAUACAUGCAAGUCGAACGAGAAGUCACCUUCGGGUGAUGGAAAGUGGCGGACGGGUGAGUAAUGUGUAGAGAAUCUGCCCUUUAGUGGGGGACAACAGUUGGAAACGACUGCUAAUACCCCAUAUGCGCGUAGCUGAGAUGCUAUUCGUGAAAACUCCGGUGCUAAAGGAUGAGUCUGCAUCUGAUUAGCUAGUUGGCGGUGUAAUGGACCACCAAGGCGACGAUCAGUAGCUGGUUUGAGAGGAUGAUCAGCCACAAUGGGACUGAGACACGGCCCAUACUCCUACGGGAGGCAGCAGUAGGGAAUUUUGCGCAAUGGGGGAAACCCUGACGCCAGCAACGCCGCGUGAUUGAAUAAGCCCUUCGGGGUGUAAAGAUCUGUCAGUAGGGACGAAACUUGACGGUACCUACAGAGGAAGCAUCGGCUAACUCCGUGCCAGCCGCUGC